rnacentral:rRNA from 1 species
GUUAAACGGCCGCGGUAUUCUGACCGUGCUAAGGUAGCGUAAUCACUUGUCUUUUAAAUGAAGACCCGUAUGAACGGCAUCACGAGGGCUCAGCUGUCUCCUCCCCCCAGUCAAUGAAAUUGAUCUGCCCGUGCAGAAGCGGACAUAAGAACAUAAGACGAGAAGACCCUAUGGAGCUUAAGACAAAAAGCCAAACAUGUAAAACAACCCACAAACCAAUUGGAAUAAAAGGUAACUUAACCCUGUGUUAUCUGGCUGGAAUGUCUUCGGUUGGGGCGACCUCGGAGGAAAAACAAGCCUCCGCAUGGAAUGGGGGAAAACAUUCCCCUAAAACUAAGAAAUACAAAUCUAAGUAACAAAAAUUUUGACCAACAAUGACCCGGACUAAGUCCGAUCAACGAACCAAGUUACCCUAGGGAUAACAGCGCAAUCCCUUCCCAGAGUCCAUAUCGACGAAGGGGUUUACGACCUCGAUGUUGGAUCAGGACAUCCUAAUGGUGCAGCCGCUAUUAAGGGUUCGUUUGUUCAACGAUUAAAGUCCU